UACGUAGGGGGCGAGCGUUACCCGGAUUCACUGGGCGUAAAGGGGGCGUAGGCGGCCGUGUAAGUCCGGUGUGAAAUACCACGGCUCAACCGUGGAACUGCGCUGGAAACUACACGGCUUGAGGACGGUAGAGGGAGACGGAACUGCUGGUGUAGGGGUGAAAUCCGUAGAUAUCAGCAGGAACGCCGGUGGAGAAGUCGGUCUCCUGGGCCGUUCCUGACGCUGAGGCCCGAAAGCUAGGGGAGCAAACCGG
rnacentral:rRNA from 1 species